rnacentral:misc_RNA from 1 species
GAUGAAGAACGUAGCGAAAUGCGAUACGUAAUGUGAAUUGCAAAUUCAGUGAAUCAUCGAGUCUUUGAACGCACAUUGCGCCCCCUGGUAUUCCGGGGGGCAUGCCUGUCCGAGCGUCAUUGCUGCCCUCAAGCACGGCUUGUGUGUUGGGCCCCGUCCUCCGAUCCCGGGGGACGGGCCCGAAAGGCAGCGGCGGCACCGCGUCCGGUCCUCGAGCGUAUGGGGCUUUGUCACCCGCUCUGUAGGCCCGGCCGGCGCUUGCCGAUCAACCCAAAUUUUUAUCCAGGUUGACCUCAGAUCAGGUAGGGAUACCCGCUGAACUUAAGCAUAUCAAUAAGCGGAGGA